rnacentral:rRNA from 1 species
UCCGUAGGUGAACCUGCGGAAGGAUCAUUACCGAGUUGAUUCGAGCUCCGGCUCGACUCUCCCACCCUAUGUGUACCUACCUCUGUUGCUUUGGCGGGCCGCGGUCCUCCGCACCGGCGCCCUUCGGGGGGCUGGCCAGCGCCUGCCAGAGGACCAUAAAACUCCAGUCAGUGAACUUCGCAGUCUGAAAAACAAGUUAAUAAACUAAAACUUUCAACAACGGAUCUCUUGGUUCUGGCAUCGAUGAAGAACGCAGCGAAAUGCGAUAAGUAAUGUGAAUUGCAGAAUUCAGUGAAUCAUCGAAUCUUUGAACGCACAUUGCGCCCCUUGGUAUUCCGAGGGGCAUGCCUGUUCGAGCGUCAUUUCAACCCUCAAGCUCUGCUUGGUAUUGGGCCCCGUCCUCCACGGACGCGCCUUAAAGACCUCGGCGGUGGCGUCUUGCCUCAAGCGUAGUAGAAAACACCUCGCUUUGGAGCGCACGGCGUCGCCCGCCGGACGAACCUUUGAAUUAUUUCUCAAGGUUGACCUCGGAUCAGGUAGGGAUACCCGCUGAACUUAAGCAUAUCAAUAAGCGGAGGA